CCUACGGGGGGCUGCAGUGAGGAAUAUUGGUCAAUGGGCGUAAGCCUGAACCAGCCAAGUCGCGUGAGGGAUGAAGGUUCUAUGGAUCGUAAACCUCUUUUAUAAGGGAAUAAAGUGCGGGUCGUGUCCCGUUUUGUAUGUACCUUAUGAAUAAGCAUCGGCUAACUCCGUGCCAGCAGCCGCGGUAAUACGGAGGAUCCGAGCGUUAUCCGGAUUUAUUGGGUUUAAAGGGUGCGUAGGCGGCCUUUUAAGUCAGCGGUGAAAGUCUGUGGCUCAACCAUAGAAUAGCAGUUGAAACUGGGAGGCUUGAGUAUGUGAAGGGCAGGCGGAAGGCGUGGUGUAGCGGUGAAAUGCUUAGAUAUCACGCAGAACCCCGAUUGCGAAGGCAGCCUGCCAGGCCAUGACUGACGCUGAUGCACGAAAGCGUGGGGAUCAAACAGGAUUAGAUACCCUUGUAGUC
rnacentral:rRNA from 1 species